UCUAUACAGGAAGACAACUUAUGUCAGUGGCUCUCAACCGAUCCAGACUGCUGUACCCCUUUCAGAAAUCUGAUAUGUCUUGCAUACCCCCUAAGUUUUACUUCACUUUAAAACUACUUGCUUACAAAAUCAAACA